rnacentral:rRNA from 1 species
GUGGGGAAUAUUGGGCAAUGGGCGAAAGCCUGACCCAGCAACGCCGCGUGAAGGAAGAAGGUCUUCGGAUCGUAAACUUCUAUCCUUGGUGAAGAUAAUGACGGUAGCCGAGAAGGAAGCCCCGGCUAACUACGAGCCAGCAGCCGCGGUAAUACGUAGGGGGCAAGCGUUGUCCGGAAUGAUUGGGCGUAAAGGGCGCGUAGGCGGCCUGGUAAGUCUGGAGUGAAAGUCCUGCUUUUAAGGUGGGAAUUGCUUUGGAUACUGUCGGGCUUGAGUGCAGGAGAGGUAAGUGGAAUUCCCGGUGUAGCGGUGAAAUGCGUAGAGAUCGGGAGGAACACCAGUGGCGAAGGCGACUUACUGGACUGUAACUGACGCUGAGGCGCGAAAGUGUGGGGAGCAAACAGGAUUAGAUACCCCAGUAGUCC